rnacentral:rRNA from 1 species
UAGGGAAUCUUCCGCAAUGGGCGAAAGCCUGACGGAGCAACGCCGCGUGAGUGAUGAAGGUCUUCGGAUCGUAAAACUCUGUUAUUAGGGAAGAACAAAUGUGUAAGUAACUAUGCACGUCUUGACGGUACCUAAUCAGAAAGCCACGGCUAACUACGUGCCAGCAGCCGCGGUAAUACGUAGGUGGCAAGCGUUAUCCGGAAUUAUUGGGCGUAAAGCGCGCGUAGGCGGUUUUUUAAGUCUGAUGUGAAAGCCCACGGCUCAACCGUGGAGGGGCAUUGGAAACUGGAAAACUUGAGUGCAGAAGAGGAAAGUGGAAUUCCAUGUGUAGCGGUGAAAUGCGCAGAGAUAUGGAGGAACACCAGUGGCGAAGGCGACUUUCUGGUCUGUAACUGACGCUGAUGUGCGAAAGCGAGGGGAUCAAACAGG